rnacentral:tRNA from 1 species
GGUUAGGCAAGUUAUGGCACAACACUUUUAAUGUUGGGGUCAUGGGUUCGAGCCCCAUGCGGAUCA